GAAUAUUGCGCAAUGGGCGAAAGCCUGACGCAGCGACGCCGCGUGGGGGAUGAAGGUCUUCGGAUUGUAAACCCCUUUCGGGAGGGAAGAUGGAAUGGGUAACCAUUCGGACGGUACCUCCAGAAGCAGCCACGGCUAACUUCGUGCCAGCAGCCGCGGUAAUACGAAGGUGGCAAGCGUUGUUCGGAUUCACUGGGCGUACAGGGAGCGUAGGCGGUUGGGUAAGCCCUCCGUGAAAUCUCCGGGCCUAACCCGGAAAGUGCAGAGGGGACUGCUCGGCUUGAGGACGGGAGAGGAGCGCGGAAUUCCCGGUGUAGCGGUGAAAUGCGUAGAGAUCGGGAGGAAGGCCGGUGGCGAAGGCGGCGCUCUGGAACGUUUCUGACGCUGAGGCUCGAAAGCGUGGGGAGCAAAC
rnacentral:rRNA from 1 species